CUAACAAGGAUUCCCCUAGUAACGGCGAGUGAAGCGGGAAGAGCUCAAAUUUGUAAUCUGGCGGUCUCAGGCCGUCCGAGUUGUAGUCUGGAGAAGCGUUUUCCGCGCCGGAUCGUGUACAAGUCCCUUGGAACAGGGCGUCAUAGAGGGUGAGAAUCCCGUCUUCGACACGAACUACCGGUGCUCUGUGAUGCGCUCUCAAAGAGUCGAGUUGUUUGGGAAUGCAGCUCAAAACGGGUGGUAAAUUCCAUCUAAAGCUAAAUAUUGGCGAAAGACCGAUAGCGAACAAGUACCGUGAGGGAAAGAUGAAAAGCACUUUGGAAAGAGAGUUAAACAGUACGUGAAAUUGUUGAAAGGGAAACGAUUGAAGUCAGUCGCGUCUUCCGGGACUCAGCCUUGCUUUUUGCCUGGCGCAUUUCCCGGGGUU
rnacentral:rRNA from 1 species